rnacentral:rRNA from 1 species
CCUACGGGGGGCAGCAGUGGGGAAUAUUGGGCAAUGGGCGCAAGCCUGACCCAGCAACGCCGCGUGAAGGAAGAAGGCUUUCGGGUUGUAAACUUCUUUUCUGAGGGACGAAGAAAGUGACGGUACCUCAGGAAUAAGCCACGGAUAACUACGUGCCAGCAGCCGCGGUAAUACGUAGGUGGCAAGCGUUAUCCGGAUUUAUUGGUUGGAAAGGGCGUGUAGGCGGGAAAGAAAGUCAGAUGUGAAAACUCAGGGCUCAACCCUGAGCCUGCAAUUGAAACUGUUUUUCUUGAGUGCUGGGGAGGCAAUCGGAAUGCCGGGUGUAGCGGUGAAAUGCGUAGAUAUAAGGAGGAACACCAGUGGCGAAGGCGGAUUGCUGGACAGUAACUGACGCUGAGGCGCGAAAGCGUGGGGAGCAAACAGGAUUAGAUACCCGUGUAGUC